UUGAACGCUGGCGGCAGGCCUAACACAUGCAAGUCGAGCGGUAGCACAGAGAGCUUGCUCUCGGGUGACGAGCGGCGGACGGGUGAGUAAUGUCUGGGAAACUGCCUGAUGGAGGGGGAUAACUACUGGAAACGGUAGCUAAUACCGCAUAACGUCGCAAGACCAAAGUGGGGGACCUUCGGGCCUCAUGCCAUCAGAUGUGCCCAGAUGGGAUUAGCUAGUAGGUGGGGUAACGGCUCACCUAGGCGACGAUCCCUAGCUGGUCUGAGAGGAUGACCAGCCACACUGGAACUGAGACACGGUCCAGACUCCUACGGGAGGCAGCAGUGGGGAAUAUUGCACAAUGGGCGCAAGCCUGAUGCAGCCAUGCCGCGUGUGUGAAGAAGGCCUUCGGGUUGUAAAGCACUUUCAGCGGGGAGGAAGGCGAUAAGGUUAAUAACCUUGUCGAUUGACGUUACCCGCAGAGGAAGCACCGGCUAACUCCGUGCCAGCAGCCGCGGUUAUACGGAGGGUGCAAGCGUUAAUCGGAAUUACUGGGCGUAAAGCGCACGCAGGCGGUCUGUCAAGUCGGAUGUGAAAUCCCCGGGCUCAACCUGGGAACUGCAUUCGAAACUGGCAGGCUAGAGUCUUGUAGAGGGGGGUAGAAUUCCAGGUGUAGCGGUGAAAUGCGUAGAGAUCUGGAGGAAUACCGGUGGCGAAGGCGGCCCCCUGGACAAAGACUGACGCUCAGGUGCGAAAGCGUGGGGAGCAAACAGGAUUAGAUACCCUGGUAGUCCACGCCGUAAACGAUGUCGAUUUGGAGGUUGUGCCCUUGAGGCGUGGCUUCCGGAGCUAACGCGUUAAAUCGACCGCCUGGGGAGUACGGCCGCAAGGUUAAAACUCAAAUGAAUUGACGGGGGCCCGCACAAGCGGUGGAGCAUGUGGUUUAAUUCGAUGCAACGCGAAGAACCUUACCUGGUCUUGACAUCCACAGAACUUUCCAGAGAUGGAUUGGUGCCUUCGGGAACUGUGAGACAGGUGCUGCAUGGCUGUCGUCAGCUCGUGUUGUGAAAUGUUGGGUUAAGUCCCGCAACGAGCGCAACCCUUAUCCUUUGUUGCCAGCGGUUAGGCCGGGAACUCAAAGGAGACUGCCAGUGAUAAACUGGAGGAAGGUGGGGAUGACGUCAAGUCAUCAUGGCCCUUACGACCAGGGCUACACACGUGCUACAAUGGCAUAUACAAAGAGAAGCGACCUCGCGAGAGCAAGCGGACCUCAUAAAGUAUGUCGUAGUCCGGAUUGGAGUCUGCAACUCGACUCCAUGAAGUCGGAAUCGCUAGUAAUCGUAGAUCAGAAUGCUACGGUGAAUACGUUCCCGGGCCUUGUACACACCGCCCGUCACACCAUGGGAGUGGGUUGCAAAAGAAGUAGGUAGCUUAACCUUCGGGAGGGCGCUUACCACUUUGUGAUUCAUGACUGGGGUG
rnacentral:rRNA from 1 species